GUUGUGGAAAAGAAUCGGCAUUGUAAAUAGUCUGUAAGGACCUGCUAGGGAAGAACACUCCAGUUCCUAGCGGUCAGGAAGGAAGGUUAAGCUCUCACCUGCAGGUGGCGCUGGCACAACAAAGGCCUUCAGUUCAACUUCAUUGUCCGCAGUGUAAGAAUGGACUACUACAAUGGUAUUUUGUCACAGCAGCACAAGCUAAGACAAUCAUUAAAGCAACAAUUGAAGACAAUCAAAUAAUUCAAUAGUAAACAGGCUUCUAGAAACAGAAUACAAGGUCUGCUGCCACAGCAGCCAUCUAGGACUACACGGAGGCCUUGAGAAAGCAAGCCAGCGCUGGGAAGAUGGAAGGAGCUGGGUCCUUGAAGACGCGGGACUGCCUACCAGCCCUGGACAGCCAACCUUUGAUUUCUUGAGGAAAAAAUAAACUUUUCUCUCAUUUAAA